rnacentral:rRNA from 1 species
AAGCCUACGGGAGGCAGCAGUGGGGAAUAUUGGGCAAUGGGCGCAAGCCUGACCCAGCAACGCCGCGUGAAGGAAGAAGGCUUGCGGGUUGUAAACUUCUUUCAUCAGGGACGAAGCAAGUGACGGUACCUGAUGAAUAAGCCACGGCUAACUACGUGCCAGCGGCCGCGGUAAUACGUAGGGGGCAAGCGUUGUCCGGAUUUACUGGGUGUAAAGGGCGUGUAGCCGGGCUGACAAGUCAGAUGUGAAAUUCCGGGGCUCAACCCCGGACCUGCAAUCGAAACUGUU